CCGGCGACCGGCGCACGGGUGAGUAACACGUAUGCGACCUGCCCCCCGCAGGGGGAUGACCGGGAGAAAUCCCGACUAAUACCGCGUAACGCCGCGGACCUGCAUGGGUCUGCGGCCAAAGGAAGCGAUUCCGGCGGGGGAUGGGCAUGCGGCGCAUUAGCUAGUCGGCGGGGUAACGGCCCACCGAGGCGACGAUGCGUAGGGGUUCUGAGAGGAAGGUCCCCCACACUGGUACUGAGACACGGACCAGACUCCUACGGGAGGCAGCAG
rnacentral:rRNA from 1 species